rnacentral:precursor_RNA from 15 species
CAUUUUCAUCUGUGCUGUGUGCAGUGCCCCCACUCCAGGAAGUGCCAUCCAUGUGGCUAAAAAUAUGAUUGGCAUUUCUUAGAGUGAAGUAAUGCACAACGUGUACAACAUAGGAGUG